rnacentral:rRNA from 1 species
UACGUAGGUGGCAAGCGUUGUCCGGAAUUACUGGGUGUAAAGGGCGUGUAGGCGGGAUAGCAAGUCAGAUGUGAAAUUCCGGGGAUCAACCCCGGCGCUGCAUCUGAAACUGUUAUUCUUGAGUGUCGGAGAGGAAAGUGGAAUUCCCAGUGUAGCGGUGAAAUGCGUAGAGAUUGGGAGGAACACCAGUGGCGAAGGCGGCUUUCUGGACGAUAACUGACGCUGAGGCGCGAAAGCGUGGGGAGCAAACAGG